rnacentral:rRNA from 1 species
AACGAACGCUGGCGGCAUGCCUAACACAUGCAAGUCGAACGAGACCUUCGGGUCUAGUGGCGCACGGGUGCGUAACGCGUGGGAACCUUCCCUUAUGUUCGGAAUAACUCCCCGAAAGGGGUGCUAAUACCGGAUAAUGUCUUCUGACCAAAGAUUUAUCGCCUUUGGAUGGGCCCGCGUUGGAUUAGCUAGGUGGUAGGGUAAAAGCCUACCAAGGCGACGAUCCAUAGCUGGUCUGAGAGGAUGAUCAGCCACACUGGGACUGAGACACGGCCCAGACUCAUACGGGAGGCAGCAGUGGGGAAUAUUGGACAAUGGGCGAAAGCCUGAUAGAGCAAUGCCGCGUGAGUGAUGAAGGCUUUAGGGUUGUAAAGCUAUUUUAACCGGGAUGAUAAUGACAGUACCGGGAGAAUAAGCCACGGCUAAAUCCGUG